rnacentral:rRNA from 1 species
AGCGAACGCUGGCGGCAGGCUUAACACAUGCAAGUCGAGCGGGCCCUUCGGGGUCAGCGGCGGACGGGUGGGUAACGCGUGGGAACGUGCCUUCUGGUCUGGAAUAACCCUGGGAAACUAGGGCUAAUACCGGAUACGCCCUUUUGGGGAAAGGUUUACUGCCGGAAGAUCGGCCCGCGUCUGAUUAGCUAGUUGGUGGGGUAACGGCCUACCAAGGCGACGAUCAGUAGCUGGUCUGAGAGGAUGAUCAGCCACACUGGGACUGAGACACGGCCCAGACUCCUACGGGAGGCAGCAGUGGGGAAUAUUGGACAAUGGGCGCAAGCCUGAUCCAGCCAUGCCGCGUGAGUGAUGAAGGCCUUAGGGUUGUAAAGCUCUUUUAUCCGGGACGAUAAUGACGGUACCGGAGGAAUAAGCCCCGGCUAACUUCGUG